rnacentral:rRNA from 1 species
CCUACGGGAGGCAGCAGUGAGGAAUAUUGGUCAAUGGGCGAGAGCCUGAACCAGCCAAGUCGCGUGAGGGAAGACGGUCCUAUGGAUUGUAAACUUCUUUUGUCGGGGAGCAAAAAGGCCUCGUGAGGCCACCAGUGAGAGUCCCCGAAGAAAAAGCCUCGGCUAACCCCGUGCCAGCAGCCGCGGUAAUACGGAGGAUGCGAGCGUUAUUCGGAUUUAUUGGGUUUAAGGGGUGCGUAGGCGGACUGGAAAGUCAGCGGUAAAAUCGAGAGGCUCAACCUCUUUCCGCCGUUGAAACUGUCGGUCUGGAGUGGGCGAGAAGUAUGCGGAAUGCGUGGUGUAGCGGUGAAAUGCAUAGAUAUCACGCAGAACUCCGAUUGCGAAGGCAGCAUACCGGCGCCCGACUGACGCUGAGGCACGAAAGCGUGGGUAUCGAACAGGAUUAGAUACCCUUGUAGUC